GACGAACGCUGGCGGCAGGCCUAACACAUGCAAGUCGAGCGAGUGGCGGACGGGUGAGUAAUGUCUGGGGAUCUGCCCGAUAGAGGGGGAUAACUACUGGAAACGGUUGCUAAUACCGCAUACUAUCAGAUGACCCCAUAUGGGAUUAGCUAGUAGGUGGGGUAAAGGCUCACCUAGGCGACGAUCUCUAGCUGGUCUGAGAGGAUGAGCAGCCACACUGGGACUGAGACACGGCCCAGACUCCUACGGGAGGCAGCAGUGGGGAAUAUUGCACAAUGGGCGCAAGCCUGAUGCAGCCAUGCCGCGUGUAUGAAGAAGGCCUUAGGGUUGUAAAGUACUUUCAGCGGGGAGGCGUUACCCGCAGAAGAAGCACCGGCUAACUCCGUGCCAGCAGCCGCGGUAAUAC
rnacentral:rRNA from 1 species